UAUUAGAUUGCCAGAUGAUACUUUGUCCUGUUGUUUUACCUGCUAACACCUCCUAAUGUCCUGCUGCUCCUCGGCACCACACCUGGAAACCAGAUCACCAAACUUAGGAGUUAGAAACAUGCUCGUGCAUGGUGGGAGAAAAUGUAAAAUGGUGCAGCCAUUAUGGAAAACAGUAUGGAAGGUCUUCAAAAAGUUAAAAAUGCAAUUACCACAUGAUUCAGCAAUGACACUCCUGGAUAUAAAACCCCCCACCCAUCAAAAAAAUUGAAAGGAAGAUCUUCAGCAUUUGAACAUCUAUUUUCAUAUAACAUUAUUCACAAUAGCCAAAAGAUGGACACAGCCCAAGUGUCUAUCAAUGGACGAAUGGAUAAAGAAAAGGUGAUAUAUCCAUGCAGUGGAAUAUUACUCAGCCUUGAAAAGGAAGGAAAUUCUGACAUGCCACAUGGAUGAACCUUGAGAAUACUAUGCUAUGUGAAAUAAGCCAGUCACAAAAGGACACAUGCUGUGUAAUUACACUGAUAUGAGCAAACCUUUGGGAAGGUUUCCCUUGGCCCCUACAGUGUUGGCGUCACAGACAGGAUCCUAAAGCUGCUCUACUUUUCUGGAAGCCACAGUCCAGGGAACCCAGGACCUGACAAAGCAUCAGAAGGCACCUGAGUCCAUGGCUUUGGCAGCCAUAGUGAUCAUGAACUUCCGGCUAUGUCCUAGAGUCAUUUAUCUCUGAGGAUGUCAGGAGGAACCCCAAAAUGUCAUCAAGACGCUGGCUACAGGUCUAAACUCCAAUAAAAUCCAGCUGGGUUACAUCAAUUCAGACAUCUGGAUAAAAGGAUGAAUGAAACCAUGUACAUAAUACAGAAUUAUGCAUGCCAGGAAAAAAAAUUAUACUGCCUAAAAGCUGCAACCUUCAUGACAUCAAAUCUAUUUUAACACUGGCUGGUUAUGUGAGGAAAAGGCUAAUAAAAAAAAAUUCUGGCUGACC